rnacentral:hammerhead_ribozyme from 1 species
AUCCAGCUGAUUAGUCCAAAAUAGGACGAAACGCACGUCCUGGAU